rnacentral:rRNA from 1 species
GACGAACGCUGGCGGCGUGCUUAACACAUGCAAGUCGAACGCUGAAGCCCUUUCGGGGGUGGAUGAGUGGCGAACGGGUGAGUAACACGUGGGUAAUCUGCCCUGCACUCUGGGAUAAGCCUUGGAAACGGGGUCUAAUACCGGAUAGGACACAUCCCCGCAUGGUGUGUGUGUGGAAAGUUCCGGCGGUGCAGGUUGAGCCCGGGGCCUAUCAGCUUGUUGGUGGGGUGAUGGACUACCCAGGCGACGACGGGUAGCCGGCCUGAGAGGGUGACCGUCCACACGGGGACUGAGACACGGCCCAGACUCCUACGGGAGGCAGCAGUGGGGAAUCUUGCGAAAUGGGCGAAAGCCUGACGCAGCAACGCCGCGUGGGGGAUGACGGCCUUCGGGUUGUAAACCUCUUUCGACCGGGACGAAGGGUGACUGACGGUACCGGUAGAAGAAGCACCGGCUAACUUCGUGCCAGCCGCCGCAGUAA